rnacentral:tRNA from 1 species
GCCCCGGUAGCUCAGCCUGGUUAGAUGCCAUGGACAGCAGAGAGCGUUGGCUUGGUAAGUCAAAGGUCACGGGUUCGAAACCCGUCCGGGGCUCCA